rnacentral:rRNA from 1 species
GUAGGUGGCAAGCGUUGUCCGGAAUUAUUGGGCGUAAAGCGCGCGCAGGCGGUUCUUUAAGUCUGAUGUGAAAGCCCACGGCUCAACCGUGGAGGGUCAUUGGAAACUGGAGAACUUGAGUACAGAAGAGGAAAGCGGAAUUCCACGUGUAGCGGUGAAAUGCGUAGAGAUGUGGAGGAACACCAGUGGCGAAGGCGGCUUUCUGGUCUGUAACUGACGCUGAGGCGCGAAAGCGUGGGGAGCAAACAGGGAUUAGAUACCCUGGUAGUCCACGCCGUAAACGAUGAGUGCUAAGUGUUAGGGGGUUUCCGCCCCCUCAGUGCUGCAGCUAACGCAUUAAGCACUCCGCCUGGGAGUACGGCCGCAAGGCUG